UACGUAGGGCGCAAGCGUUGUCCGGAAUUAUUGGGCGUAAAGCGCGUGUAGGCGGCCGUGCAAGUCGGGUGUGAAAGCCCUCGGCUCAACCGAGGAAGUGCGCCCGAAACUGCAUGGCUUGAGUACCGGAGAGGAUGGCGGAAUUCCCCAAGUAGAGGUGAAAUUCGUAGAUAUGGGGAGGAACACCGGUGGCGAAGGCGGCCAUCUGGACGGAUACUGACGCUGAGACGCGAAAGCGUGGGGAGCGAACAGG
rnacentral:rRNA from 1 species